rnacentral:RNase_P_RNA from 1 species
CGAGCCGGCCGGACGGCCGCGUCGGGGCAUCGCCCCGUCGAGGAAAGUCCGGGCUCCACAGGGCAGGGUGGUCGGUAACGCCGACCCGGGGCGACCCGCGGGACAGUGCCACAGAGAGCAGACCGCCACCGGGCCUCGGCCCGGCGGUAAGGGUGAAAGGGUGAGGUAAGAGCUCACCAGCGCCCACGGCGACGUGGGCGGCUAGGUAAACCCCACCCGGAGCAAGGUCAAGAAGGAGAACGGAACCGUUCUCCGCGCAGGCGUUCGAGGGCGGCUCGCCCGAGCCUGCGGGUAGACCGCUGGAGGCCGUCGGCAACGGCGGCCCGAGAUGGAUGGCCGUCACCCGUCGCAAGACGGGCACAGAACCCGGCUUACAGGCCGACUCGUCCG